ensembl:snoRNA
UUCCUGUGAUGAUUCAUUGUAUGUGUCAACUUGGCAGGGCCACAGAUAUGUGGCCGAACUUAUGAUUGUUAUUUUGGCUGCUGCUGGGAA